rnacentral:rRNA from 1 species
GAUGAACGUUGGCGGCGUGCUAAUACAUGCAAGUCGAACGAAGACUGUAGUAAUACUGCUUAGUGGCGAACGGGUGAGUAACGCGUGGGUGACCUGCCCCGAAGUGUGGGAUAACAGUUCGAAAGGAUUGCUAAUACUGCAUAAUAUCCAAGAGAUUAGACGCUUUUGGAUUAAAGGAGUAAUUCGCUUCGGGAGGGGCCCGCGUCCCAUCAGCUAGUUGGUAAGGUAAUGGCUUACCAAGGCGAUGACGGGUAGGGGACCUGAGAGGGUGGCCCCCCACAAUGGAACUGAAACACGGUCCAUACACCUACGGGUGGCAGCAGUAGGGAAUAUUAGUAAUGGGCGAAAGCCUGAACUAGCAACGCCGCGUGUGCGAAGAAGGCCUUCGGGUUGUAAAGCACUUUUUGAGAGGAUGAGGAAGGACGGUACUCUCAGAAUAAGUCUCGGCUAACUACGUGCCAGCAGCCGCGGUAACACGUAGGAGGCAAACGUUAUCCGGAUUUACUGGGCGUAAAGCGCGUGUAGGUGGUUUGGUAAGUAGGGCGUGAAAGCUCCUGGCUCAACUGGGAGAGGACGUUCUAAACUGCCAAGCUUGAGGAUGGUAGAGGGAGGUGGAAUUCCGGGUGUAGCGGUGGAAUGCGCAGAUAUCCGGAGGAACACCAGUGGCGAAGGCGGCCUCCUGGACCACUCCUGACACUCAGACGCGAAAGCUAGGGUAGCAAACGGGAUUAGAGACCCCGGUAGUCCUAGCCCUAAACGAUGUAGACUUGGCGUCGGUGGUUUAAUCGCCAUCGGUGUCGUAGCUAACGCGUUAAGUCUACCGCCUGGGGACUACGGCCGCAAGGUUAAAACUCAA